CUUUUGGGACUCGCGUAAUGUGAACGUUACUUCCCCUUGAUAUUCUCCCGAAGUUUUGUUAGGUUAUCUUCAAUUUUCCAAAAUUAUUUUUUCUCUUUGCUGCUGUCUGGGUGAGUUCACUGUUUCAUCUUCCAGUUCAUUGAUCUGCUUUGCAGCUUCAUCCAGUCUGUCUGCUGUUGAACCUCUGUUAUGUAUUUUUCAUUUCAGUUGUCAUGUUCUUCAGGUCUGUGACUUCUGUUUGGUACUUUCUUAUAUUUACUAUCUCUUUGUGGGCAUCAAUUCUUUAGUGAUAUGGAGACAGUAAUCUACUUGGUAAAGUCUUUUUCUUUCAUCUGGAACAUAUUUCUGUGUUUCCUCAUUUUGCUUGACACUCUGUGCAUGAGGUGAAACAGUGACCUUCUGUAGGUGAUGAGCUGCCUUGUUCAACCUCACCCAGCUCUCAGUUGUAUCUUGAAGCUUUGUGACUGGCGAAACUGCAUGACUUAUUCUUGAUGGGUCCCUAUUGUUGACGGUGUACCCAGACAUGUCAGUCAUCCAAGGGUUAAAGAAUCUCAUUUUACCAGCAUGUUUCAGGCUGACUGAAGACCAGACCCUCAGGAAGCAGUUUUAAGUAUGCAAAUAUAGACAGUUCUGUGCAUCCACACCCAUAAUCCCUGCUUGCCUCCAGACCAGGAGACAUGGAGGUGUUCUCUGAGUGACAGUUGCAAAAGUCAGGGCUCCAGGCUAAGUAAAUAGACCUUUUCACAGGAAGACAGUUGUGUUUCAGUCUGCUGUCUCUGGAGUGCCUGGGGGUGGGGGCCUGACCAAAGCAGUCUUUCCAGUUCUUACAGUCCUGGGUUGCUCUGGAAUGCCAUCCCUUUCGGCCACCAGGGAGUAAGCAAUUAAGGGGUGUCCUGCUGGCUUAAGGGAGAACAGUGUAGGUUGCAGGCACACCUGCUGGCUUCAGAAAGGCAGUGGGAAAAUGUCUUGACUGGUACGAGUAUCAGGAAUGCACUGGGAGAGUACCUUGCCUGUGCAUAUUGCUGGCUUUAGGCUGGGUGGGACAAUGCUGCCACAGUCAUACUCCCUCACCCCUGCCAGGGAGCAGGGAGGUACUGCCACACCCAUGCUCUUGAGCCUCAGCAAGUGCCUCAACCACUUGUCCCUGCAGGUCACAGUAAGGUGGGGGGAGGGCGCUAUGUCCCAGCUUCCCCCUUUGCUAGCAGGCUAUGUGGAGAGUGCAACAAUGGUGCCCCCAGUACCUCCAUCCCCAGGGAGUGUCUCAACUGUUCCCUGUCCCUCCAGCAGAUGCUCCCAGAUUAGUAAAUGAAUCUACCUCACACACAGUCUAGGCACUUUUCAAACUGCUAUUUUUUUGACAGGUCUUGGGGCAAGUAAGACUGCCUCUGAGCCUUCCAAGAGGGUAAUCUCAGUUUCCUAUAGCACUUGGGGACCCUGGACAUCAGCCCCAUUGGUUUUCUAAGCAAGAUGUUCUGGGGGCUCAUCUCUACAGUGCAAGUCCACUGGUGAGGUGCCUGACAUGGGGCACUAACUCUGGGAGAAGCCACUGUCUGGUGAGAUCUCUCCCUGUUGUUUUGCUGCCCUGGGGGUGGGUUUUUUGCAAGACUGUGUCUCUGUCUCUCCUAUCUGUCUCAGUGUGGUCCUUUUGCCUUUUGUUGCAGAGAGCAGUUCCAGUUUUCUUAUCUUUUCCAGGGGGAAAUGAUCCAUAUGUAGCUGUAGACUUGGUGUGUCUACGGAGGAGGAGGUGCGUUCAGGAAAUUCCCAGGUUGCCAUCAUGGGCUCCCUCCUAAGUGCAUUGUUAAUUGAAAGCCUCUUAAACAAUUCUUUAUCUCUUGAGUCAUUAUAAGAAAAAUGAGAUCACAAAUUAGUAGCUAUAAGCAACCAAGGUGUCUCCCAGUUGGCGAAUGAAUAAACAAACUGGUACAUCAGACAAUGGAAUAUUCUUUGGCAAUAAGAAGAAGUGAGCUAUUAAGACAUCAAGGAACCUUAAAUGCAUGUUACUAAGUGGAAGAAGCCAAUUUGAAAAGGACUGUUAGCUGAGGAGAGGACACGGAAACGAUGGAAGUUUCCAGGUGGAGAAUCCAGGACACUGUGCAAUAAGAGGAGAAUGAGGGAUCCAGUGAAUGUGAGGAGACCGCUCAAAGUCACACGGACUUCGGGCAUAAACUCAUACCCUGAAACCAGCAACAGAGGGCUGGCCAUGGGGAAGCUGGCCCGGAAGUCAAGCUUUGUGUACUCUAUAAAUGGAAAGCGAAACUCGGUUUUCUUUUUCAUAGAAGAGAAACCUCAACGUAACACCGACAAGGAAGGUGUAACUGGCUCAGGCUGGGAGUGUGGAAGUCCUGGUCAGCGGUGUGAACCUAUGAAGGAGCACUAACAUCCCCUUUGCUGACGGCGCGCUGGGGAGGCUGCCUGCAGGACCUGCAAAACCGCAGCUCCUUCUCUCAUGCGGCCCGAGGGACCAGGAGAUAUUCCAGAAAACCUAAAACUCUUCUAGCCUGAAGCUGGACAUGUCUCAAAACUUCUCAGAUUACUUGAAUACAGACAGACAUUUCAGAAUUCAGAGGCGACACAAAUGAACGAGGGCCAUACUUUUGAUUUCUAAGGAAAAAUUACUUCCUUAAAACAAAACUAUUCUCACAAUGUGAGAUGCAUCUUUCCUUUCCAGACGAAUUUUGGAACUAGACCCUCUUAUUUUUCCAUGGUGUGAUCAGAGAAACUUUGCAUUCUUGGUUCUUAUACUCUAACAUAAUGGAAAUUAUUUUUCUCAGUGUUUUUUCUUCCCUGUAAGUGAAGGUUUAGUUACUACAGAGAUGACAAGAGGCCAAUAUCUGGACUCAAGGGAAGGAAGGGAGCUGGAACUACACUUCUUCAAAAUCCACGUCCACAGACAUUUUCACUCUCCACAAUUUCCUAAAUGGCUUUUUCCUGUGUCCCUUGUAUACAAACUUUACAAGCUUUUAAUGAGUAAACCCACAUGCCCUGAUGAAUAGCAAGUGAACAAAGGCAGUCCAGGAUGGUGGCCUAGGAAGACCCUCAACUCACCUCUUCCCAUGGACCCAUCAAGUCUAUACCUACAUACAGAGCAAUUCCUCCUGAAGAAGAACUGAGGGCCAAUCAACAGCUUCUGCACAACCAAUGAAAGAGAGACCAUGAAGAGAAGGGUAGGAGAGGCGGUAAUGAUGGGAGCCCCACUCCUGGUGCAGUGAACUGCAAACUCCCCCAGCUUGGGGCACUAGACUGUAAGUGCAGGAAACCAUUUACAACCCACAGAGCAUCUGCCAAAUGUGCAGGGACCCACUGAGACUUUCUCCAGGGCUGGAGGCAUUGGUGUGUGCCAUUUUUUUUUACAUGGUCCCUUCACCUUGACAGCAGGGGAGGGAGCAGGGUCUAGGUGUUCUAGCAGCCUGCUAGGGCCACCCCAGUGAGCCUGGACCCCUAGUCCACACCAGCUUCCCACUGUCCCACCACGGCAGCCCCAAUGCAGUGCACCCCAGGACCGCCACAGAUGGUGCCCAUUCUCCCUACACCACAAAUUAAUAAAGGGAAACCUCUUUAUUAUGGAGUGGGGAGACCAACAGGGGGAGCUCUCAGACCUGACCUUCCCUGGUCAAUUGCAGGUCCAACUGGAAGAGAUGGACUUUUGCAAGACUAUACUGGUGAAGAUUCUACUUUACUACCCCAGCAGGAGGAAGGAAGGUUUUCCUCCUUCCCUGGCAACCGCUGUACUUCAAACUCCUAGUUUACUCCAAUGUACUUUUUGUUUAUAACAGCCUUUCCAACUCUUCUACCCUUACCUAUAGCUUUGCCAAAGCUUGCUUGUCCUGAAUUGCAAUUCUCUGAUAUUCCUGAAUAAACCUAAUUUUUGCGGGUAAAAUAACAAUUUUAUUUUAAAGGUUAACAGAUGAUUGUUCAAAAUCUGUACAUCACUCAGUCUGAUGUACUACAUUAACAAAAUGAAGGAUAAAAAUCAUUAUCUCAGUAGAUGCAGAAAAAACAAACCCCAGCAUCCAUAUAGGAUAAAAACUCAACAAGUGGGUAUAGAGGGAAUGGACCUCAAUAGACUAGACGUCAUAUAUAAUAAACCCACAGCUAACAUCAUGCUCAAUGGUGAGAUGCUGAAAACUUUUCCUCUAAGACCAGGAAGAAGACAAGGAUGCCCACUCUUGUCACUUUUAUUCAAGAUGGUAUUGGAAGUCCUAGCCACAGCAUUUAGUAAAGGAAAAGAAAAGCCAUCCAGACUGGAAAGAAAGAAGACAGGAGUCUAUAAGUAGAAAACCCUAAAGACUCCACCAAAAAACUAUCAGAAUUAAUUACUUCAAUAAAGUCAUAGGACAUAAAGUUAACAUACAGAAAUUGGUUGCAUUUUGAUACACUAAUGAUGAACUACCAGAAAGAGAAACUAAGAAAACAGUCCCACUUACAAUUGCAUCAAAAAUAAUAAAAUACCUAGAAAUAAAUCUAACCAAGGAGGUCAAAGACCUGUACACUAAAAACCAUAAGACAUGUUGAAAAGAACUUUACACAAAUAAAUAAAGAUAUAUUAUGCUCAUGGAUUGAAAAAAUAGUUAAAAUACCCACCUACUCUAAGAAAUCCACACAUUCAAUGCAAUCCCCUUCAAAAUACCAAUGGCAUGUACAUAGAAAUUGAACAAACAAACCUAAAAUUUGUAUAGAAUCACAAAGACCCCAAAUAGCCAAAGCAAUCUUGAAAAAGAAGAUAGAGGUAUCACUAUUUGAUUUCAAACUAUACUGUAAAGCUAUGGUAAUCAAAACAGAAUCAUAAAUCAACAGAAUAGAACAGAGAGCCAAGAAAUAAACCCAUGCAUAUAUGGUCAAUUUAUGACACAGGAGGCAAGAACAUACAAUGGAGAAAGGACAGUUUCUUCAAUAAGUGGUUUUGGGAAAACAGGACCACUAUUUUAUACCGUAUAGACAAAUGAAUUCAAAAUUGAUUAGAUUUGAAUUUAAAAUCUGAAAUCGUAAAACUCCCAAAAGAAAACAUUGGCAGUAAGCUCUCUGACAUUAGUCUUAGCAAUAUUUUUUUGGACCAGUUUCCUCAGGCAAGGGCAACAAAAGCUAAAACAAAUAGGAUUACAUCAAACUAAAAAGCUUUUGCACAGUGAAGGCAACCAUUAACAAAAUGAAAAGGUACUGAAUAGGAGAAGAUAUUUGCAAGUCAUACAUCCAAUAAGGGGUUAAUAUCCAGGGUUAUAUACAUGGGUUUUAUUUAUAGAUAAAGGGAUAUGUAUAUAUAUCCAUAGAACUUAUGCAACUUAAUAUAAAAAAAACCUGGUUAAAUAAUGGCAGAGGACUUGAACAGACAUUUUUUUCCAAAGAAGACAUAUAGAUAGAUAACAGGCACAUGAAAAGAUGCUCAACAUCACUAAUCAGGGAGAUGCAAAUCAAAAUCACAGUGAGAUACCACCUCAUACCUGUCAGAUUGGUAUUGUCAAAAAGACAAAAAUUAACAAGUGUUGGUGAGGAUGUGGAAAAAAGGGAACCCUCCUACACUAUUGGUGGGGAGGUAAAUUGGUAUAGCCAUUAUGGGAAACAGUGUGGAGGCUGCUCAAAAUAUUAAAAAUAGAAAUAGACCAUUCAUAAAUUCCACUUCUGAGAUUCAUCCAAAGAAGUUAAAAACCUCAAUUAAUAGAGAUAUAUGUUCCCCUAUGUUUACUGAAGCAUUACUUAUAAUAGCCAAG